rnacentral:misc_RNA from 1 species
UCGUGCAACCGGGGGUGCGAGGGCUGUCGCUGACUUUUUAAAAAGGUCGUGCACGCCCGAGCGCUCUCACACACAUCCACCUCACCCUUUUGUGCAUCACCGCGUGGGUUCUCCUUUGCUGGAGGGCUCACGUUUUCACACAAAACUCGAUACAGUGUAGAAUGUUAAUUUUUGCGGUCACACGCAAUCAAUA